rnacentral:ncRNA from 1 species
UUACGAAAAUAGCAAACUUGUCGAAAGACAGGGACGCAAAGCCACAGGGCCUUCUUGACGAAACGUCAAUGGCAGCCUGGCCGCCGAA